GACAGGGCAUUUGCUCUUAGCUUAUGCUCAUGCCAUUCUUAACUUACUUGAAAUAAGGAGCCAAGUAGAUGGAGGAAGAGUUGAAUAUGUUUCUCAUCAUACUAACAAAGUGAAGAAAGUCCAUAACAGAUAAGCGAGAUCCAUAAGGUGGAGAGAUAUGCAAUACAAGUCUCCUCAGCUCCUGUUCGCAGAGAAUCCUGACUCUCACAGGGCAAGACUGAGACUGCUCCUGCAGAACUGGUGAAGUAUUUAUGCUCUGUCAACCAAGUGAGUCCCACUCUUCAGUCCACUGCAACUCUCAAGGCUCUGCCAGCAUGUCCAUUAUCGUUACUAUGAAAUGGUCAGCUCCCCCAUAACCAGCUCCUUGACCUUGUGUUGAUGCU